GAGUUUGAUCAUGGCUCAGAGUGAACGCUGGCGGUAGGCCUAACACAUGCAAGUCGAACGGCAGCACAGUAAGAGCUUGCUCUUAUGGGUGGCGAGUGGCGGACGGGUGAGGAAUACAUCGGGAAUCUACUUUUUCGUGGGGGAUAACGUAGGGAAACUUACGCUAAUACCGCAGUAACGACCGUACGGGUGAAAGCAGGGGAUCUUCGGACCUUGCGCGAUUGAAUGAGCCGAUGUCGGAUUAGCUAGUUGGCGGGUAAAAGGCCCACC
rnacentral:rRNA from 1 species